CAGCAGGCGAUACUGAAGCCCCGGCCGGAUCUGGUUCAGCCGCAUCAGGGCGUUCAUUGGCUGGUUGGAGUCUAUGGCUUUGCUGUCCAAGACUGUGGAGAAAAAUAGAGUCGUGCUUCAUCUUCACCUUGUAUGAAGAAAGAGCUGGAGAUGAUUGGGUGGCCUACUAAAACGCAACCAAUCGAUAAUAUUGAUCUGCCUCCGAGGGACUGAAGGAGAGUGAAGAGCAGAAAACCAGACGGGGGGGGGGGAGAAAAGACACAGAAUAGAGACAACGAGAAGAGAGGCAAGAAUCAUCUGAGUGUGGGGCUGCUAUAUACAUUCCUCUUCAUCUUCUUAAUGAGGUCCUUGUCGUCCAUAAAUCCAUCCUCGUAUGGCCUCUUCAAACCCAAGCCUGAGAGAGAGAGACGUGGAGAGUCACUAAUCAAUCACUUUCUACUAGAGGAUGUUUAUAUGAACGCACUCAAAGGCUCUUUUGUGUGGCUGAAAUGCAUGGGGGGGCCUAACAUCUCAGAAAACAAACCAUCCAGGAGCACGAGCGUAAAGAUGGAUCAAUUCACCGAUGAGACAAACAGAAGAGGCAGAGCAGCAAACCUCGAGGAAGACAUAAAUAUCGCAAAAAUGUGGCAAGAGGCAGAUUCUCCUUGUAUCUGCUCAUCGUCCCAGAUGUGACCUGUUCCUCUGCCCUGCUCGUCAGCAAUGCAAAAAAUUAGCAUGAAAACACAGCCGUAUAUUCAUGCGCUCAUCAGG